rnacentral:lncRNA from 1 species
UCAAAUGAGGGGAAAUAUCGAUGAUCAAUCACUCGCGCCACGCCACUGGGUAAAAAAAUAAUUCCUCCUCCGGCGGGAGUUAGACAACUUAACGAUCAAUGUUGUUCUAGCCUAGCGUCACGACCGACGCGUCUUGUCGUGGUUUCGUCUGGUCGAGCCGGAUCCGCGUGGACCGCCGGACUGCACGGAUCAGCUGAUUUUCCCGCGCUAGAGACUCAACGCCCAUCUACUGUUUCAUGGACUGUUUUUAUUCUAGGUGGAUUUUUGAGUCUCAGUCAUGGAAAUCAACACGAAAAUCUGCCUACUUGUGUGCGCGUUCGCGAUGGCUCGUGAAUUUCGGCCCAUAGAACCGUUUUUUUGCCGAGUUCCUGAUCGGGCCGGACGUGGGAUUUUCUGAGAAACAGGCCGUUCAAGAUAUCUUCGUCAUCUGGGCAUACUCGAGUUUCUUUCUCGUUAUCCUCGUGUUCCUGAUCACGGAUUUUGUCCGAUACAAACCAAUCAUAAUCGCCGAUGGAAUUGCUGGCAUCAUGACCUACGUUCUUCUUCUCGGAAAACCCUCAGUUCGAAUGAUGCAGAUCGAGCAGAUGUUCUACUCGUUCUUCUACUCAUCGGACACGGCAUAUUACACUUACAUGUACGCGAAAAUCGAGGACAAAAUGACGUACAACCGAAUUACGGCUACGUGCGGGCGUGUGUCUUGUUCGGCAAGUUCGUGAGCGGCUGUCUGUCACAACUCUACGUCACCAUCCAACACGCCGGAAUCAGUGCAAGCAAACUACCCCUCGUCUACUUGAGCAUCGGAGGUAUGUAAAUAUUGUCUAUCGCCUGAAAAUGUAUCGAAGGCCCCGCUCCCCGCAUCUUAUCACGUGAGACCAAUAUCCCGCACUUGGAGCAC